GUCUUUUCGGGCCGGCCCAUCCGCCUCUUUCCUUUUUUUUUUUUUGUUUCCGGGUAUUACAUACUCUCCCCCUUAAAAAAAAUUUCGUCCUCGAAAUUAACUUACUUAAAGCCUCAAACUUUAAAAAUAUGCAUCCAUUAUAUCAUCCCCGAGAUCUCAAAUAGUCUCCCUCUUGGAGUACCUACUCACAAGAUUUUGACAUACAAAAAUCACAGCAUCUCAAAACUUGAUCCUUUUUAUUUACCACACAUAGUAAGUUCUUUUGAUCUCCUUCAAAAGAAUUCCAAACUCCCAACCUUAGAUUAAAAUGCCAUAAUUAUAUCCCAAGAAAUUAAUUUCUCUUGAUUCUACACAGAGAUCAUAAUUGGCUUGACAGCAAUAGGAGAAAUCUUUAGUAUCAAAUGCUCUUAAUAUUCUAUAAUCAUUUUUCUUUUCUUUCUCCCACAUCAUUCCAACAAAUAAGAGAUCCAUAGAAUCAACAACAUUCUCCUGAAACUAACUCAAGUAUUUCAUCAUAAUGCCUUUUAGAUCAAAUAUUAAUGAUCUUAACCAGUUUCAAAAUAAGUCAAACCACCACACUUCCGCUGCGCACUCUGAUCUAACUCAUCAAAUUCUCUAAAGUCACAAAAUGAUUUCUGUCCAAAGUAUCACUUUGCAUCGAGACUAACAAAAUCCAAAUUUUAAAUUUUCAAGUAGAACUAGAGCAAAACCUCUAGAUCUUUUUGUUCUCGAUUUAUAUAGAGUAUACUUACCAUAACUAAUUCCCAAUUCUUUAGUCAAGUUUAAGGUCACUACAUGAUCUCCACAACCUUUUUAGAACCCAAAAUAUCUAAGUUUAAUUUAAAGGGGUAAUUCUUGUAUUCCCUUUGCAAUGUAAUUAGAAAAGCUACAUUGAUUUUCCUUCC
rnacentral:lncRNA from 1 species